GACGAACGCUGGCGGCGUGCCUAAUACAUUCAAGUCGAACGCAGUGGGGACGGGUGAGUAACACGUGGGUCACCUCCCAUCAGAGGGGAUAACACUUGGACACAGGUGCUAAACCGCUACUGCUGGAUGGAACCGCGUUGCAUUAGCUAGUUGGUGAGGUAACGGCUCACCAAGGCCACGAUGCCUAGCGGACUGGAGAGGGGGAUCGGACACACGGUGACGGAGACAAGGCCAAGAAUCCUACGGUAGGCAGCAGUAGGGAAUUGUCGGCAAUGGACGAAAGUCUGACCGAGAAAAGCCUGGUGAGUGAAGAAGGUUUGCGGAUCGUAAAACUCUGUUGGUAGAGAAGCGGUAGCUAACCAGAAAGCCACGGCGAACUACGUGCCAGCAGCCGCGGUAAUAC
rnacentral:rRNA from 1 species